GCCUCGAUGGUCUAGUGGUAUGAUUCCUGCUUUGGGUUGAUAACUGAUUGCAGGAGGUCUCCGGUUCAAUCCCGGAUCGAGGCC